CCUUAUACAUUUGUCUUUGAGGUGGAAGGAUUGUAUUCCAGAAGUACUUAGUAUAGGCUUCUCUUUCAGAGAUGUAGCUCCAGAAGUCAAAGGAGACCCAUGGAGUAGGAAGGUAUUGUUCUUUCUCCCCAAAUAUCAGUGCUCCAGAUGAGCUGUAGUAACACCUGGUACCAGCUCCACUUUGAGUGGGAAACACAUUUUGUAUUGUCAG